GGGGAAGGAUGAGAAGCUUCGACUAAGGUUCGACUUGAGCGCCAGCGAGAGAGCGUUGCCGCAGGCAACGACCCGAAGGGCGAAGCGCGCAGCGCUGAGUAAUCCUUCCCCCACCACCA
rnacentral:sRNA from 1 species